CCACCAAAAACAUGGUGUAAAAGCUAAAUGUGUUCAUACAUACUUUAAUCAGAUAACUAAAGUAUAAAAUUACUUUUACAGUGACACGUGGAUCCCCAACUAACCAAGAAGGUGUAGGGCUACGAACCCUUACUUUUGAGGAUGCAACUCCGGGAUUAAUUCUCGUCUUAAUCAAUUAUCAACAAACUAUCCUAAGCCUGAAAAAAAUGGAUAGGAAGAGGGGUGAGAUUAUAUAAUCUCAGUGAGUAAACAAUUACUAUCAAAAACAUCUAAAGCCGAGUAGAUGAAGACAAUAUAAAAAACGUUAUAUCCCAAUAAUGUUCAUAACGCAAAAUUCGUUUCAAUCUAUACCAAACAAUUUCUUUUUGUCAAAUUUCUCCGGCUUAUGAGUUUCUUAAACUUGGCCCCUACCAAAAUCAUUCUCGCGGGUACCUUUGUCAAGGUAUCCCACUGAGACCGUCGAGGUUGUUAAAUGUCUCAUACCCAUAAAUAUGUUUUCACAUCUGAUACACAACCGUUCCUUGGCGUUGGCUGAGUCUCACUCUCACGUGGUAGCCUGAACGUGAGGUGCACUCAAAUCUUACCUCAGGAGAUACUUCAUCCAACAUCUCCCCCCGGAGGUAAAUAUAUAAUUGGGUUAUCGUGCCCCUCUCAUAGGCAGUCCACGAAAACCCCCACCACUGUAGUGACAGUUUAAUAUACCACCAGACCCAUAAAAUUUUCAGUAGCAUAAUAUGGCGAAUAAAUUUUAAUCCAGUCUACCGAGACCAAUAAAAAACAGUUCAUAUAUUUCAUGCCAAUCCCAAAAAAAAUUUAGCCAUCAUGCUACCAUAGUGUCAUAAGCUACAAUUUCAAUAACAUAUAAAAUCAUAAAUUUCAACACAAUCUCCAUAUACUCAAUUUUCCCAAAACAAUAUUUGAUUUCAAAACCAGUAUAAAUCUCAUUUUUAUUAAAAAACAUUUUAAUUGGAAAACAUAAUAUUUUAUAAUUUAACUCACCAUUCAAUAAAAACAUCAAACAAGUAUAAUUACUCUAGAUAUUUAAGACGAUAAAUUAUCCACUCAUAGUUCUAGGAGUCGAUGUACUCCUAAUCCCAAUCUUCAAGCACAAUCUCUAUACUUUUAUCAGUGUAAUUUGCUCACCACUUAUCCACAAUGUACAAUACAUAAUUCACCACAUUAUGCUUGACCAUUAUAAAAUCAAUUCAGGCUCGGUGUAUAUGCAUGAUAUGAUAUACAACUUAUCUGACUACCGCUUAAAUGCGAUGCUGACCUAAUUCGGCCUAUUACCCCGAUUAAAUUACUAGCGCGUCCAAUUUAAUCCCAAAUUACUCCAUUUCUUUUCUAAUACCUCAAUUCACCAAACAUUAUUCAAAUAACACCAAUUUCAGCCUCAAAACCUUCCCAUUUCUUCAUGGAAAAAUUCAGCCAUUAUAGUGCACUAACACCGUGAUUUUUUUUACUUAAUUUUCUCACCAUUAUUCAUCAUUUUCUAAGCCAUUUCUCUUGAACUAAUAACAAUCCAUCACCCACACACAUCAAGGAAGAUUCGGCCAAUGAUGAUUCAUGGGGAAAAUGGAUUCUUUUCUUGUUGUUUUGUUUCUAAAUAUGCUAAACUAACUAAAAACACUAACAUAACUUAAAAUGACAUCAAUCCAACAUCUUUCUCUCUCCAUACCCAUUUUGACCAGCCAUGAAUUCAUCAUGAAAACAUGUAAUUUAACCAUGAAAAAUAAGGAGAAAUGCAUGGGAAAGGUAGAUCACAAGUCAAAAUCAAGAAAUUUUACCUUUUGUCACUUGUUUCCUUGAAUUUCUCACACUUUUCUCUUGAAAUUCUUCACCUAGGGUUUUUGUUUUUCUUUUCUCCCUUUGUUCUUCUUUUUUCUUUGUUU
rnacentral:lncRNA from 1 species